UUUCAUCAAUAAAGGUAAUCAAACAUCAAGUAUUUUCCAAACACCAAACAAAACACAUAAUCAUCAAAAUAAAUGAUGUGAUGAAAUGCAAUGCAAUAUAACACCAUGUAAUGAAUUGUCUCAGAAUACCCAGUACACACUCAACCGUAUAUACAUGAUACUCCUCGAAAAUACAUCGAGAGUUCAUGACCCAUGGGGGACUCGCGGGGUCCAUAUACCGACACGGACGAUCUCCACGUGUUUGUGCGGAU
rnacentral:lncRNA from 1 species